rnacentral:rRNA from 1 species
AUUGAACGCUGGCGGCAGGCCUAACACAUGCAAGUCGAGCGGAUGAAGGGAGCUUGCUCCUGGAUUCAGCGGCGGACGGGUGGGUAAUGCCUAGGAAUCUGCCUGGUAGUGGGGGAUAACGUCCGGAAACGGGCGCUAAUACCGCAUACGUCCUGAGGGAGAAAGUGGGGGAUCUUCGGACCUCACGCUAUCAGAUGAGCCUAGGUCGGAUUAGCUAGUUGGUGGGGUAAAGGCCUACCAAGGCGACGAUCCGUAACUGGUCUGAGAGGAUGAUCAGUCACACUGGAACGGAGACAAGGUCCAGACUCCUACGGGAGGCAGCAGUGGGGAAUAUUGGACAAUGGGCGAAAGCCUGAUCCAGCCAUGCCGCGUGUGUGAAGAGGGUCUUCGGAUUGUAAAGCACUUUAAGUUGGGAGGAAGGGCAGUAAGUUAAUACCUUGCUGUUUUGACGUUACCAACAGAAUAAGCACCGGCUAACUUCGUGC